AUGCACGCUGGCGGCGUGCCUAAUACAUGCAAGUCGAGCGAACGGACGAGAAGCUUGCUUCUCUGAUGUUAGCGGCGGACGGGUGAGUAACACGUGGAUAACCUACCUAUAAGACUGGGAUAACUUCGGGAAACCGGAGCUAAUACCGGAUGAUAUUUUGAACCGCAUGGUUCAAAAGUGAAAGACGGUCUUGCUGUCAUUUAUAGAUGGAUCCGCGCUGCAUUAGCUAGUUGGUAAGGUAACGGCUUACCAAGGCAACGAUGCAUAGCCGACCUGAGAGGGUGAUCGGCCACACUGGAACUGAGACACGGUCCAGACUCCUACGGGAGGCAGCAGUAGGGAAUCUUCCGCAAUGGGCGAAAGCCUGACGGAGCAACGCCGCGUGAGUGAUGAAGGUCUUCGGAUCGUAAAACUCUGUUAUUAGGGAAGAACAUAUGUGUAAGUAACUGUGCACAUCUUGACGGUACCUAAUCAGAAAGCCACGGCUAACUACGUG
rnacentral:rRNA from 1 species